CGGAAGGGACUAGACCUUCUGCAAUGAGUUUCUGUCAGACCUUGGACCUUAACUUGCUUGACACAGACUUUGCUGGAAGCUUCCAGAGCAGGGCUGGGCACCUACAGAUGACUGGAGAACACCAAAGGCAGGCCAGGUGGGAAUGGAUGGCGGGAAAAGCCCUGUGAAUCUCAAGGCACCACACAGGGCACAGAGGGAGACCCCAGGUAACAUGCACAUGGUCAAAAAAUGGAACAAUAUGAACAAGAUAGUAAGCAAAGUCUUACUGCAGUGCCCUUCCAGUUUGCCCCAGUACCAGCCCUACCUCCUCCAGAUUUCACAUUUCAAGAAAAUCCUUGCACUUACCGGUCGGUAGUAAAAAUGUACCCCACGUGAUCCUUACAGCUUAACAGCAGGACACUGAAGGCUACAGCAAAGAGCACUGAAGGUAAAAACGGCAGAAGAAACAACACAGUGAACAAGAAGAUCCACAGGAAGUGGGGGAGCCUGGGUUUUGCAUGCAGAGGCUGCACCAAGAGCCUCGGGUAAAGGGGUCUCAGCACCUGUAAUCAGCAGGGAAACGGUAGAGGACUUCCGUGCCUGCUCCAUGUCUCCAGCACCCAGAGCGUUUCCUACCCGGACACUGGCAGCCACACUGAAGCCUGCAGGGACCUAAAAUAAAAAGGAAACCUGCAACAACGAGUGAGAAACUGCAGAGUGAGAACACGUGCAGAGAAGCAGCCUCAUGC
rnacentral:antisense_RNA from 1 species